CUAUUUGUAUAGCAUAAUUCCCAAGAUACUCAAUUCACAAAUGGGCCCACUUGUUGGAUUUGCUGGUUGGAGCCAGUCUUUUAAAAGUUGAAGAAGGAAAUCCUCUCGGGGUGUGUAUAAAAGGAAGAGAGACAGAAUCUAAUCCUUCAUGGCACACUGGCUGCCUGCCAACUGCUGCAGAGGAAUUCAGAAGCACAGAGCCUGGAAGGCAGCCCAUCGGGAGGCUGCCUGAUGACAGAGAGAGCAUCCCAUGAGCUGCUGCAGCCCCUCCAUCCAUGGCCCCCACAAAGCGGGGGCGACAGGAAAGACAGAAGUAAAACUGUCUUUAUUCACAGAUGACAAAACUGUCUACAUGGAAAUUCAAUGGAAUCUACAAAAAAGCUACUGGAACUAAUAAAUGAUGAUGGAAUAUCUGCUUGUUCUGACAAGGAUUCUCAAGAGGACUCCACUUAAUUCAAAGGCUUCAGAAGCAAAGGAGGAGAAGAGGAGGCAAGCAGAUGAACAGUGCAGCAGAGAAAAAGAGAAGAGAAGGAAUGUCUGAACAACAAGAGGAAUUCAGCUGGGGGGCAGUCAGAGAGGAAUUCAGCUGCCGGACAGCCAAACUCCAGGGGAAGAUCACCUUCCCACUCCAUCCCCCUUUCAGCUCCCCAUCCAUCCCACUGAGAGCCACCUCCACCACUCAAUAAAACCCCUACAUUCAUCCUUCAA